rnacentral:rRNA from 1 species
AUGAUGAAAUCUUCCAAGAGUCCCUCAGCCACCCAUCUCUUCAUAUGUAGGUUCAUUGAGGACUCAGACAUCAUCCCGAGGAAGACAAAGAAGGUUCCCGAGACCAUAAACAUAAAUGUGGUUCGUCCCAAAACACCUCUGAAUGGGUACGCCAAAAUUCAUGUGGACGCAAGUACUGCGUGGAGUCACAUAGCUAGAGCCUCAGCUGCUGUUUGCCGCGACGCAGAGGAGAACUUUUUGGGCAGCGCUUCCCAGGUGAUUCACUGGAUCAACAACGUUGCAACGCUAGAAGCCAUAGUGUGCCGGGAGUUGCUAUCUCCUGCGGAGGAUCUGAUGUUGCAUAAUUUCAUUGUCACAUCGGAUUUCAAGAUUAUUGUCAAAGAUAUUCAAAAUGGAAGCAACACAACAUAUGGUAACAUUACUAGCGAGAUUAAGAGUAGAGCUUUAAUGUUCGCUUGUACAUUCACUUAUGAAGGUAGAGCUACGAACGUUGAUGCAAAUAGGCUAGCCAAGUUUUCUUGUUCUCUUGAUUAG